GUCCACGCCCUAACGAUGUCGACUGGGUGUUGGGAAGCGAUUUCCCAGUACCGUAGCUAACGCGUGAAGUCGACCGCCUGGGAGUACGGCCGCAAGGUUAAACUCAAAGGAAUUGACGGGACCCGCACAAGCGGUGGAUGAUGUGGAUUAAUUCGAUGCAACGCGAACAACCUUACCUACCCUUGACAUGUCCGAGAGCCUGCUGAGAGGCGGGUGUGCCCGAAAGGGAAUCGGAACACAGGUGCUGCAUGGCUGUCGU
rnacentral:rRNA from 1 species